rnacentral:sRNA from 1 species
AUCCGCGUAACGGUUUUUAGCUUUAUUCGCAAUCAAAAACUGUCACUGCGUUAUUCUCCACUUCUUUGUCAUUUCACUUACACAUUCAUCACCGUUUUUAAUUCAGGAUGAUGGGAGGUAAAUAAUGACCCAGUUAAUAACUAGAAGGAGUGAUACAAACAAGACAAUAGCGGCAAUGGCACCUGGCAGAAUAUUGGCACUUGUAUUACCAGUAGCAAUUCUUGGUGCAUCUAAAAAGACAGACGUAAUAAUGUCAAAGAUGCUGUAGAAGACGUAAGCAAAGCCUCACACAUAACCAAAGAUAAUAGAAACUUCGUUGCGCUUGUAUUCCUUGUACUCGUAAGGGAGAAUCAAGAUCGAGCUACCUAAACUUCAACCAAAACCACCAGCAAUAAAGGUAAAGAUACCCACAAACGUAAAGCCAACCACAGUAUUUAAACCAAGCGUUGCAGCAAAGAUUACUAUUAACAACACCAACACGGCGUUGGCCGUAAAGAUAAAGUGGAGCCAACGCUUCUUGUCAUAAAUUGUUUUGUUAAACGGUGACAGUAAGAAGUAACCCAAGAGGUAACCCAUUACCCAGAGAAUUAAUAAGAUUGGACGGGCAGUUGGAAUAAUUGCUUUUUUAGCACCUGAAAUAGCUAACAAGCUGUUAAACCAGGUUUGGGUUAACGGGUUAAUUAAGAGAAUUGUACCUACACCAGCUAUUGCCAACAGCUUCCAAGUUGUUUUGCGUUUCAAAAUUGAUAACGCACUUGGUCUCACACUCAAGCUUUGAUUGGUUUUUGAUUGCUUUUGGGGCAACAUGUGAUCGACCUUCUUUUCAAAUCAAGCAAAUACUAACAACAUCGCAAACACCAAUAAGAUCAUGAACGUUACAACUCAAACCCAGUUAGCAGUCGCAAAGCGGCCAACACCUGGAAUUAAGAAAGGUGCUGCCACAAUUACAAGUCCUACGUUAAAACCUCAGAAGUUAGCAUUCGAUAAAAUCGAUUUCUUGCGGUUUGAAGAAAGGGAAGCAAUAAUUGGUUGCGCAUAAGCAAUUAAGGUCGUACCACCAAUAGCAAUCGUAGAACGGAAAAUAAUGAAAAACGCAUAACCAGUCAUUGACGCACUGGUACCAAUUUCGUUGCCGUUAAUUCCUUUAAUUAAGCUAACAGGAGUGCCGUCAGCCAACAUAGUUUGACUACCCACUUGAACAGGACCUAACAGUUGACCUUGUUGUAAACUGGAAGAAAUUUUAGUAAGUUUACUUAUUACUUCACUUGAAGCCGGUCGCAACAAGGUCAACUCGUUAUGACCACCUAACGGACUACCGAUAAUUAAGAAAGGAAAACAAACACACAUGAGUCCCAUCAUGAUCAUCACUGCAUGACGGUAACCAAACUUC